CCGUCAUUCACGGAAAGGAAGGAGAUAGCGGCUACGUCGGCGCCGAAUUCCUUGCCGGCGUAACCGCGCCGGCAAUUCGCGAUGCUCGACGGCGAUGUCGCGUCCGGCGUCGAUCUAUCCCGCUGUGCUCGUUGAGGAUGUGGUGCCGCCGUCCUUGAAGGCGGACGUCCUGGCCAUGGUGAUGGGGGCUGCGUGGGCUGUCGCCAUUGAUGGCAGGCUGCGCGCGCUACGGUGACGGCGGGCCGGGAGACGGCGUCCGCGCGGAAGACGGAGGCUGAGCGGUUUCUGUGUGCUGGAGUUUGCUCCGGCGGCGUGGAGAGGAGCUGCAGCCGGCGCAUCGCAAAGGGAUGGAGGCCCCCUUCUCCCAGCCAGUCACCGAUUAUAUGUGGUUUGGUCGAUGAGGAUGGCGUGAAAGAUGGCUGCUCCACUCCGGGUAUGUUUGAUGCGAGCAUACAAAACCUUUGCCGUUGCGUCCCAACCUCUACUGUAUAUAUGAAUGGAUAAAAUGUUGCCUGGCGAUCGGCGGUGGAGGGCCAACGGGAGCGGGAACGAAGUUCACAGGCGGUGGUGCCAUGACCCUCUUCGAGCCAGGACGGCCCAUCCUGGGUCCAAUCGGCAUGAGUGCUAAGACCCGAUUUCUCUUCUAACACGACUCAUGGUUCAGAACGCAAGGACGUAUAUUGACUGAUCUGACUAUUUUCAUUUUCAUUGGCGCCAAGUAAACCAUGGUGAUAGGAAAAAGGAAGUGAUUGAAAGAAGGAGAUUGAUCAACGUUUGAUUGAAAGAAGGAAGGAGAUUUAUCACCGUCAUGAAUGAAUUGAUUGCCAUGCAUGAAUUGAUU
rnacentral:rRNA from 1 species